rnacentral:rRNA from 1 species
AGAAUCAACGCUGGCGGCGUGCCUAACACAUGCAAGUCGAACGAGAAAGAGGGAGCAAUCCCUUGAGUAAAGUGGCGACCGGGUGAGUAACACGUGACUAACCUACCCUCGAGUGUGGAAUAACAUCGGGAAACCGAUGCUAAUACCGCAUAACAUCGCAAGAUCAAAGGAGCAAUCCGCUUGAGGAGGGGGUCGCAGCUGAUUAGCUAGUUGGCGGGGUAAUGGCCCACCAAGGCAAUGAUCGGUAGCCGGCCUGAGAGGGCGCACGGCCACACUGGAACUGAAACACGGUCCAGACUCCUACGGGAGGCAGCAGUGGGGAAUUUUGCGCAAUGGGGGAAACCCUGACGCAGCAACGCCGCGUGGAGGAUGAAGCCCCUUGGGGCGUAAACUCCUUUCGACCGGGACGAUUAUGACGGUACCGGUGGAAGAAGCCCCGGCUAACUUCGUGCCAGCAGCCGCGGUAAUACGAGGGGGGCAAGCGUUGUUCGGAAUUAUUGGGCGUAAAGGGCGCGUAGGCGGUGCGGUAGGUCACCUGUGAAAUCUCCGGGCUUAACUCGGAGUCUGCAGGCGAAACUGCCGUGCUGGAGUAUGGGAGAGGUGCGUGGAAUUCCCGGUGUAGCGGUGAAAUGCGUAGAUAUCGGGAGGAACACCUGUGGCGAAAGCGGCGCACUGGACCAUAACUGACGCUGAGGCGCGAAAGCUAGGGGAGCAAACAGGAUUAGAUACCCUGGUAGUCCUAGCCCUAAACGAUGGAUGCUUGGUGUGAUCGGUACCCAAUCCGAUUGUGCCGAAGCUAACGCGAUAAGCAUCCCGCCUGGGGAGUACGGUCGCAAGGCUGAA